UACAGAGGUCUCAAGCGUUGUUCGGAUUCAUUGGGCGUAAAGGGUGCGUAGGCGGUUUGGCAAGUCUUGUGUGAAAUCUUUGGGCUCGACCCAAAGUCUGCAUAAGAAACUGCCGGGCUUGAGUAUGGGAGAGGUGAGUGGAAUUUCCGGUGUAGCGGUGAAAUGCGUAGAUAUCGGAAGGAACACCUGUGGCGAAAGCGGCUCACUGGACCAUUACUGACGCUGAGGCACGAAAGCUAGGGAGCAAACAGG
rnacentral:rRNA from 1 species